CAACGGACAUACAUUCCUAUAUUUCUGAACAUAUAUUUCACAUUUUUAUUUCAAGAACAUUUGUGGUGUCUGUUUUACUCAAAUGGGCGACGGUUUGCAGAUGUUGUCCUUUUGUUCAAAGUGUUUCACACGGACGGAUUUACCGGGCGCGCUUCCUCUUAAGAACAGGCUCUGAGUGAACAACAUCGCGAGCUCAAGCCUCAAAUAAAAUAUCAGAAAUAGCAUCAGAUAAUAAUAUCAGAAAUCUGUGAAGAUAACAACACAACAUUAUGAUGGAGCGGAGCCGUCGGAGGAGGAGUCAAAGGGGUGAGGGCGGAGCCGAGGGAUUUAUUGAUUUUUUUUUUUUUUUGGGACAAAUAAUAAUUAAAAAAAGGUUCUGUUUUAUAGUCUGACCAGUUCAGUUUUGUGUGUGUAACACUUGAUGUUUGGUAGUCUCACCCUUUCAUGUCUGUGUGUUUUUUCUGCAUUGUGGCUGUUUUCUUUGUUUGUUUUUUAGAUUUUAUAUAACAAAUAAUGGGAAAAAAAACUCUGGCGGUCACUUUUGAUCAGGAACAUUACAAGUGUAACUUUUUUUUUCUACCACUUAGACUGAUCGAAUCAACCCUUUCUUUGUGUGUUAAGAUAUCAAAUGGAUGAAAAGUCAUCAAGUCUCGUACCCGUCAGAUAAGGGAAACCAGUUUUAUUGAAGAAACAAAACUGAUUUUGGUCAAACAUUACCGAACUGUGCAUAAGGGUUAAAUAUAUCUAAUUAAAGUUAACACAAACUGUAAUAACAUUGAUGAGUUUCAUGAUAAUGUAGAUUUUCAUGAUGGAGGAAGACCAUUCAAAAUAAAAAAGGCUAACAUCUAUGACAUCUUACCAUGACUCAGUUAUAAAUAGUUUUUUGUACAUACAUGGGGUAACAGGAUAAAACAACUUACAGUUCUUACAAUGGCCCUUUGGUGUUUGAUAUUGUAGUAAAACCAUUGAUGGCAAUGGUUAUUCAUGUCCAUUAUACUUUAUAAUAAAACGUUUUCAAUUUA